rnacentral:rRNA from 2 species
GCAGUCGAACGAGUUCUGAUUAUUGAAAGGUGCUUGCAUCUUGAUUUAAUUUUGAACGAGUGGCGGACGGGUGAGUAACACGUGGGUAACCUGCCCUUAAGUGGGGGAUAACAUUUGGAAACAGAUGCUAAUACCGCAUAAAUCCAAGAACCGCAUGGUUCUUGGCUGAAAGAUGGCGUAAGCUAUCGCUUUUGGAUGGACCCGCGGCGUAUUAGCUAGUUGGUGAGGUAACGGCUCACCAAGGCAAUGAUACGUAGCCGAACUGAGAGGUUGAUCGGCCACAUUGGGACUGAGACACGGCCCAAACUCCUACGGGAGGCAGCAGUAGGGAAUCUUCCACAAUGGACGCAAGUCUGAUGGAGCAACGCCGCGUGAGUGAAGAAGGCUUUCGGGUCGUAAAACUCUGUUGUUGGAGAAGAAUGGUCGGCAGAGUAACUGUUGUCGGCGUGACGGUAUCCAACCAGAAAGCCACGGCUAACUACGUGCCAGCAGCCGCGGUAAUACGUAGGUGGCAAGCGUUAUCCGGAUUUAUUGGGCGUAAAGCGAGCGCAGGCGGUUUUUUAAGUCUGAUGUGAAAGCCCUCGGCUUAACCGAGGAAGUGCAUCGGAAACUGGGAAACUUGAGUGCAGAAGAGGACAGUGGAACUCCAUGUG